rnacentral:lncRNA from 1 species
AAAUACUCCAUCUCAAAUGAAAUAAAGUCGGGUGGCCAAAACCUGUUAACUCCAGCGUCUUCAGAGGCUGAAGGAGGAAGACUGAAAAUUCAAGUCUGAAAGAGCUAUAUAGACUGAUCAGCCUACACAACUUGGCUGCCUUUCUGGCCAGUGGAGGAAGGAAGAUUCCAUCGUUGGCAGAAUUCUUCCGCAGCUUUAGCGAGAACCGGCUUUCUUCGCUCCGCUGGUAGACGGCGCUGUAGGAUCAUCGACCUCUUGGUCACGCUCAGCCCUGGUCCCGACCCUCUCUUUAAUUCUUCGGAAUAGGGACUGAAUAUGUCCGAGCAUCGCCAAUUUUUAUGCAAAACUUUUGUGGUCGUGUCAGUCCCUCAACGCCCCCCGCCGCCACCAUCCAUUUCUGCAAUUCGCGUCCAGACCUGAAGCCGCGUUUGGUUCCUAGCAUUCUGGUGGAAGUGACCUCUAGCUAUUCGGGCCUCCAGGGCUAUGCUUGGGAAAUCUUGAUAGAGAUCCAACCCAGCAGCCCGCUCUUGUCUCUGUCAGCUAAUUGUUUAGUCGGAUGUUUGUUUAUCCUGGUGUGAAGGGGGGGCGGGUGCGCGGGGGUGGCUGCCCCCAGGGAAGCCUGCUUCCUGUCGUUGGCUUACUCAGCUACCAUUCGCCUACUUAAGUCCUGGAAAGAAUUGCAGAGCUGGGAAGGCCUUGUCUGAUGGUGCCUUCACCCCACAACAACA